GAUGAACGCUAGCGGCAGGCUUAACACAUGCAAGUCGAGGGGUAUAGUUCUUCGGAAUUAGAGACCGGCGCACGGGUGCGUAACGCGUAUGCAAUCUACCUUUCACAGAGGGAUAGCCCCAGAGAAAUUUGGAUUAAAUACCUCAUAGUAUAGCAGUUUCGCAUGAAACCACUAUUAAAGUCACAACGGUGAAAGAUGAGCAUGCGUCCCAUUAGCUAGUUGGUAAGGUAACGGCUUACCAAGGCAACGAUGGGUAGGGGUCCUGAGAGGGAGAUCCCCCACACUGGUACUGAGACACGGACCAGACUCCUACGGGAGGCAGCAGUGAGGAAUAUCGGACAAUGGGCGCAAGCCUGAUCCAGCCAUGCCGCGUGCAGGAUGACGGUCCUAUGGAUUGUAAACUGCUUUAUACAGGAAGAAACACUACUUCGUGAAGUAGCUUGACGGUACUGUAAGAAUAAGGAUACGGCUAACUCCGUGCCAGCA
rnacentral:rRNA from 1 species